rnacentral:rRNA from 1 species
UUGAUCCUGGCUCAGGACGAACGCUGGCGGCACGCUUAACACAUGCAAGUCGAACGAGAGAAGAGAAGCUUGCUUUUCUGAUCUAGUGGCGGACGGGUGAGUAACACGUGAGCAAUCUGCCUUUCAGAGGGGGAUACCGAUUGGAAACGAUCGUUAAUACCGCAUAACAUAAUUGAACCGCAUGAUUUGAUUAUCAAAGAUUUAUCGCUGAAAGAUGAGCUCGCGUCUGAUUAGCUAGUUGGUAAGGUAACGGCUUACCAAGGCGACGAUCAGUAGCCGGACUGAGAGGUUGAUCGGCCACAUUGGGACUGAGACACGGCCCAGACUCCUACGGGAGGCAGCAGUGGGGAAUAUUGCACAAUGGAGGAAACUCUGAUGCAGCGAUGCCGCGUGAGGGAAGAAGGUUUUAGGAUUGUAAACCUCUGUCUUCAGGGACGAAAAAAGACGGUACCUGAGGAGGAAGCUCCGGCUAACUACGUGCCAGCAGCCGCGGUAAUACGUAGGGAGCGAGCGUUGUCCGGAAUUACUGGGUGUAAAGGGAGCGUAGGCGGGAUCGCAAGUCAGAUGUGAAAACUAUGGGCUUAACCCAUAAACUGCAUUUGAAACUGUGGUUCUUGAGUGAAGUAGAGGUAAGCGGAAUUCCUAGUGUAGCGGUGAAAUGCGUAGAUAUUAGGAGGAACAUCAGUGGCGAAGGCGGCUUACUGGGCUUUAACUGACGCUGAGGCUCGAAAGCGUGGGGAGCAAACAGGAUUAGAUACCCUGGUAGUCCACGCCGUAAACGAUGAUUACUAGGUGUGGGGGGACUGACCCCUUCCGUGCCGCAGCAAACGCAAUAAGUAAUCCACCUGGGGAGUACGACCGCAAGGUUGAAACUCAAAGGAAUGACGGGGGGCCGCACAAGCAGUGGAGUAUGUGGAUUAAUUCGAAGCAACGCGAAGAACCUUACCAGGUCUUGACAUCGUAUGCAUAGCUCAGAGAUGAGUGAAAUCUCUUCGGAGACAUAUAGACAGGUGGUGCAUGGUUGUCGUCAGCUCGUGUCGUGAGAUGUUGGGUUAAGUCCCGCAACGAGCGCAACCCUUACUGUUAGUUGCUACGCAAGAGCACUCUAGCAGGACUGCCGUUGACAAAACGGAGGAAGGUGGGGAUGACGUCAAAUCAUCAUGCCCUUUAUGACCUGGGCCUCACACGUACUACAAUGGCUGUCAACAGAGGGAAGCAAAGCCGCGAGGUGGAGCAAACCCCUAAAAGCAGUCUUAGUUCGGAUUGUAGGCUGCAACCCGCCUACAUGAAGUCGGAAUUGCUAGUAAUCGCAGAUCAGCAUGCUGCGGUGAAUACGUUCCCGGGCCU